rnacentral:rRNA from 1 species
UACGUAGGGGGCGAGCGUUGUCCGGAAUCAUUGGGCGUAAAGCGCGUGUAGGCGGCUUGAUAAGUCUGGUGUGAAAUCUUGGGGCUCAACCCCAAGCCUGCACUGGAUACUGUCAAGCUUGAGUCCGGGAGGGGAGAGCGGAAUUCCUAGUGUAGCGGUGACAUGCGCAGAUAUUAGGAAGAACACCGGUGGCGAAGGCGGCUCUCUGGAACGGUACUGACGCUGAGACGCGAAAGCGUGGGGAGCGAACAGG